GAUGAACGCUGGCGGCGUGCCUAAUACAUGCAAGUCGAGCGAACGGACGAGAAGCUUGCUUCUCUGAUGUUAGCGGCGGACGGGUGAGUAACACGUGGAUAACCUACCUAUAAGACUGGGAUAACUUCGGGAAACCGGAGCUAAUACCGGAUAAUAUUUUGAACCGCAUGGUUCAAAAGUGAAAGACGGUCUUGCUGUCACUUAUAGAUGGAUCCGCGCUGCAUUAGCUAGUUGGUAAGGUAACGGCUUACCAAGGCAACGAUGCAUAGCCGACCUGAGAGGGUGAUCGGCCACACUGGAACUGAGACACGGUCCAGACUCCUACGGGAGGCAGCAGUAGGGAAUCUUCCGCAAUGGGCGAAAGCCUGACGGAGCAACGCCGCGUGAGUGAUGAAGGUCUUCGGAUCGUAAAACCCUGUUAUUGGGGAAGAACAUAUGUGUAAGUAACUGUGCACAUCUUGACGGUACCUAAUCAGAAAGCCACGGCUAACUACGU
rnacentral:rRNA from 1 species